rnacentral:rRNA from 1 species
GUAGGGUGCGAGCGUUAAUCGGAAUUACUGGGCGUAAAGCGUGCGCAGGCGGUUCGUUGUGUCGGCGGUGAAAGCCCCGGGCUCAACCUGGGAAUGGCCGUUGAAACUGGCGAACUGGAGUGUGGCAGAGGGGGGUGGAAUUCCGCGUGUAGCAGUGAAAUGCGUAGAGAUGCGGAGGAACACCGAUGGCGAAGGCAGCCCCCUGGGCUGACACUGACGCUCAGGCACGAAAGCGUGGGGAGCAAACAGGAUUAGAUACCCUGGUAGUCCACGCCCUAAACGAUGUCGACUGGGUGUUGGGGAAGCGAUUUCCCAGUACCGUAGCUAACGCGUGAAGUCGACCGCCUGGGGAGUGCGGCCGCAAGGUUA